CUGGUUAGCUCAGUUGGUAGAGCGCUCCGCUGUAAAUGGAGAGGAUCCUGGUUCGAUACCAGGAGCAG
rnacentral:tRNA from 1 species